rnacentral:rRNA from 1 species
GACGAACGCUGGCGGCGUGCUUAACACAUGCAAGUCGAGCGGUAAGGCCCUUUCGGGGGUACACGAGCGGCGAACGGGUGAGUAACACGUGGGUGACCUGCCCUCAGCUCUGGGAUAAGCCCGGGAAACUGGGUCUAAUACUGGAUAUGACUCCAUGACGCAUGUUGUGGGGUGGAAAGCCUUGUGCGGCUGAGGAUGGGCCCGCGGCCUAUCAGCUUGUUGGUGGGGGGAUGG